rnacentral:rRNA from 1 species
CGUAGGGAGCAAGCGUUAUCCGGAUUUAUUGGGUGUAAAGGGUGCGUAGACGGGAAGGUAAGUUAGUUGUGAAAUCCCUCGGCUCAACUGAGGAACUGCGACUAAAACUGCUUUUCUUGAGUGCUGGAGAGGAAAGUGGAAUUCCUAGUGUAGCGGUGAAAUGCGUAGAUAUUAGGAGGAACACCAGUGGCGAAGGCGACUUUCUGGACAGCAACUGACGUUGAGGCACGAAAGUGUGGGGAGCAAACAGGAUUAGAAACCCCUGU